AUUGAACGCUGGCGGCAGGCCUAACACAUGCAAGUCGAACGGUAACAGGAAGCAGCUUGCUGCUUUGCUGACGAGUGGCGGACGGGUGAGUAAUGUCUGGGAAACUGCCCGAUGGAGGGGGAUAACUACUGGAAACGGUAGCUAAUACCGCAUAACGUCGCAAGACCAAAGAGGGGGACCUUAGGGCCUCUUGCCAUCGGAUUUGCCCAGAUGGGAUUAGCUAGUAGGUGGGGUAACGGCUCACCUAGGCGACGAUCCCUAGCUGGUCUGAGAGGAUGACCAGCCACACUGGAACUGAGACACGGUCCAGACUCCUACGGGAGGCAGCAGUGGGGAAUAUUGCACAAUGGGCGCAAGCCUGAUGCAGCCAUGCCGCGUGUAUGAAGAAGGCCUUCGGGUUGUAAAGUACUUUCAGCGGGGAGGAAGGGAGUAAAGUUAAUACCUUUGCUCAUUGACGUUACCCGCAGAAGAAGCACCGGCUAACUCCGUG
rnacentral:rRNA from 1 species